UGGAGGGGCACCGCGUCCUGAUGGGUUCUUCUCCCUACUCGUCCUCCUGACCUCAGAGCGUGAGGGCUUCUUCCUUUUCUCCCACCUGGCCCAGCUGCCCUCCUGGGACCCAGAGUUCCCAGAAAAAAAAAAAGCCUUUCUCAUCAACUCUCAAAGGCCCCGGCAGCUGCAAGGGGGAGCCUCGGGAACCCAGUGGGGGCACUAGGGGGAAGUUUGGGGUCUUUACGCUGUUCUGCCUCACCACUCACAACCACUCCCCUGCUGCUUUGGUCUCAACUUUCCCGGAACCGGGUGCUGGGCUUCAACUCCUAUCCACCAAUACCUACCCAGAGCAGGGGCGCCGGGUCACUGCCAAGGUUUGGUGGUGACGGGAGGCCUGGGGGCAGCGGUGAUAGAAGGGCCAGAGGGUAUGGGGGGCUCUGGGAGCCUCAGCGGGGGUGGGGGGAGGACUCGAGUGCCCAAGCUCAGCCUCCUUGAAAGCCUCAAAAGCACGUCCCGGGGGCGUCUUUUCCAUGGUGUCCUGCUUGCUCUCCUUGCAAAGGCCAUGGUGACUCAGACAUCCGCCAAACCCAGGAGCUCCCCUUUUCUCCAGCGUUCUUCUUGUCCAGCAGGGAGGCCUGUGGACUGCUUCUGGGCCUCCACUGCCAGGCCUGAUCGCAGCCCAUGACCUUCGCGGAGGGGUGGAGGCGGGGGGUGGGGGGGGAACAACCAAGGGCCAGGGAUGUUGCCCAGCAAGACCGCGGCCUCACUGCGCCACCGGAGGAACAGCCACCGACGAGGCCCGGCGGACCCAGGCGCCGCCACCCACCCAUGCCCGCGGCGGGCCUGCGGGAGCGCAGGGGCCAAGGCCGUGAAGCCGGGCAGCCAGCCUUGCACCAUUGACAGCCGGGGCACGUCUGCGGAGCCCGGGGGGAACAAUCAACGGACUCUAUGUCCCGGGAGCUGGGGACACGCCUGUAAGGCCUUUCUGCCUGCUCAUAGCCACUGGGAGAAAAAUCAAGCGUCUUCCUCUUUGAUAAAUAGAGGAAAGCCGGUGGGAUCAGGUACAUAUAUAAAUAGUGUUGACCUCCUCGGCCCCUCCUCAUUGAAAAGCAGAAAGCCCAUUACAGGGGCAGGUUGCUCAGUGCCUUUGAGUAUCCACCAUUACCACCCCGUGGACUUCACUGGACCCCAGACUACUUACUUGGCAUCCCUGUCCUGUUGAAAACAUCCAGGACAACUAUUAAAUAGUUCUCGGAAGAAUUAAAGACAUUCUUCAGGUCUGAAACAUUUUUAAAGCCCUGGAUGAAAUCUUCAAGGAGCACAAAGUAUAAUCGGUAGGACCACCUGAGGAAGUCUGAAAGCUUUGUCCCCCACCCCUCCCCAAAGUUAAUCAAAGAUACUGUAGACGUCAUUGUGCUCACUAAGGGGUUUUUCCGCAUUGUAACCUACAGAUUGUCCAGACCAAGCUACCAAGACAUUUAUUUUCAUUUUGUUAGUUUCUGGGCACUACACUUUCUGAUUAGACUUGUUUAUUUUUAAAAACUCUGCUGGAGAGUUUCCAACCUUGGAGGUGCAAAUGAAAACGACUCUCCCUCCCAGGUUCUUACAGGGUGGGGGAGGAGCACAAACCUGUCUGGUCCCAACUCAGACCUGGAGGUUGCCCCGUCUGAACCUGGGUGGAGUGAGGGUAGCUGGUUCGGGCACCUUGUAUUUCAGUGCUGGCACAAAGCGAGCUCUUUGAAAUGAAUAUCUAUUCUAUUUCAGUGUGCAAUGUUCCAGCCGACUAAAUGGGCUUGCCUUCUGCCGAGAGGCAGUCCUGGAGGACACAACUAAUGUGCAAUCUCCCAGGCAGCUCUUCAUCAGAACAUCCCUUGUCCUUUUGUUUUUGUUUUCGUAUUAAAAGAUGUUUUUGCUUUCCUCUCAGUGUCCGUCCUGUUAUUUUGUAGCUACAACAAUGAAACAGGAACAGUUUAUCAUUCUUUUUUGUCCUUUGUAACCAUGCCUUGUAUUGGGAUGUCACAAAGCCCCAGAUACACCUCAGCGUGCCCUGUGCUUUUGAUGUUUACUUGCUACUCCCCGGGUCACCCAGAGACCCACACUUGAUUCUGCCUUCCGCCCCUUCCAGAUGGUUCUCUCCUGGACAAGGUCCCUCUCCCAGCUUGCAGGGAAAGGGGAUUCACUAAUUUGCUUCUCAAAUUAGAAAAGACCAAACCCAGGUUCUCCAGGUAAGUGAUUCUGGCUUAUACUGGUGACUAAGAUGUUGUGUGGGAGCAUCUCCCCAGGAUCACGUCUCUCAAGGAGAGAGAACGGGAGGCACGUUUCCACAGACAUUUCUAAAACUAUGGCAACUAAGUGAGUUUUACGGAUAAAAUUCUGGUGUAUUCCCGGGCAGCUCAAGUUAUUUAAAUUUUAGUUUUGUUCACAUGUAUGGGCGCACACAGGCCAACUAGGAUUAUGUUACCAGCGCAUUGCCACUGGACAAGUCUGGUGACAGCAACUCAGAUCAACAAACUUAUUUUCUGGUGAGUGACAAAGAAAAGGCUCCCCAUACCUUUAAAAUUGUUAUUUUAUACUGUUUAACACCCCCACAGCCAGGAAUUGGCCAGACUUCCCUGCUUCCUUUUCUAGGAACAGGUAACUAACCACUCUCCCCUCCUCCAAGACUUGGCUAUUUUUAAAAGCUAAAAUUUCUCUUUCCAAAGGGAGGAAAAGGAACGAAUUCCAUUAAUGAAUUACGUACACGGAAUGUGACUUGUCUGGGACAAUUGUAUUUGUAAAUAAAUGGCUUCCUGUUUAUUUAUGUACCUUUUAC
rnacentral:lncRNA from 1 species